GGGAGGCAGAGUAGGGAAUCUUCCGCAAUGGACGAAAGUCUGACGGAGCAACGCCGCGUGAGUGAUGAAGGUUUUCGGAUCGUAAAACUCUGUUGUCAGGGAAGAACAAGUGCCGUUCGAAUAGGGCGGCACCUUGACGGUACCUGACCAGAAAGCCCCGGCUAACUACGUGCCAGCAGCCGCGGUAAUACGUAGGGGGCAAGCGUUGUCCGGAAUUAUUGGGCGUAAAGCGCGCGCAGGCGGUCCUUUAAGUCUGAUGUGAAAGCCCACGGCUUAACCGUGGAGGGCCAUUGGAAACUGGAGGACUUGAGUACAGAAGAGGAGAGUGGAAUUCCACGUGUAGCGGUGAAAUGCGUAGAGAUGUGGAGGAACACCAGUGGCGAAGGCGACUCUCUGGUCUGUAACUGACGCUGAGGUGCGAAAGCGUGGGGAGCGAACAGGAUUAGAUACCCUGGUAGUCCACGCCGUAAACGAUGAGUGCUAGGUGUUAGGGGGUUUCCGCCCCUUAGUGCUGAAGUUAACGCAUUAAGCACUCCGCCUGGGGAGUACGGCCGCAAGGCUGAAACUCAAAAGAAUUGACGGGGGCCCGCACAAGCGGUGGAGCAUGUGGUUUAAUUCGAAGCAACGCGAAGAACCUUACCAGGUCUUGACAUCCUCUGCCAAUCCUAGAGAUAGGAUGUUCCCUUCGGGGACAGAGUGACAGGUGGUGCAUGGUUGUCGUCAGCUCGUGUCGUGAGAUGUUGGGUUAAGUCCCGCAACGAGCGCAACCCUUGAUCUUAGUUGCCAGCAUUUAGUUGGGCACUCUAAGGUGACUGCCGGUGACAAACCGGAGGAAGGUGGGGAUGACGUCAAAUCAUCAUGCCCCUUAUGACCUGGGCUACACACGUGCUACAAUGGAUGGAACAAAGGGCAGCGAAGCCGCGAGGUCAAGCAAAUCCCAUAAAACCAUUCUCAGUUCGGAUUGCAGGCUGCAACUCGCCUGCAUGAAGCCGGAAUCGCUAGUAAUCGCGGAUCAGCAUGCCGCGGUGAAU
rnacentral:rRNA from 1 species